UUGAUUUGGAUUUUGACCUAU
rnacentral:piRNA from 1 species